rnacentral:sRNA from 1 species
ACUAGUAACCUUUUAGCGCAUUGUUUAAAAAGAAAGCAGUUUCUGUCCCCUUCUGUAGUUCCUUUAAGUUCAGGAUGUAAGCAAAGCCUCCAUUAAGUAAAGUAAGCGGCGGGCUCGCCAGCCUCGAGCGAAAGUGUGACUGCGAACGGGCAGGCGCGCGCCGGGCUCGGCGGAG